rnacentral:rRNA from 1 species
UACGAAGGGGGCUAGCGUUGUUCGGAUUUACUGGGCGUAAAGCGCACGUAGGCGGAUCUUUAAGUCAGAGGUGAAAUCCCAAGGCUCAACCUUGGAACUGCCUUUGAUACUGAAAGUCUUGAGUAUGGGAGAGGUGAGUGGAACUGCGAGUGUAGAGGUGAAAUUCGUAGAUAUUCGCAAGAACACCAGUGGCGAAGGCGGCUCACUGGCCCAUAACUGACGCUGAGGCACGAAAGCGUGGGGAGCAAACAGG